rnacentral:lncRNA from 9 species
GCCGCCGCCGACUCCGGACUCCAUCCUCAAAACUCUUCGCAGAAGUUGGGUUGAUCACAGGCUCCAGGCCCAGCGAAGCCGUCCACACUGGCCACGCGCGUGAUCCCUGCUGUUCCUCGCCUGCCCCUGCUGGAUCCAGAAUGGCCCCCUGGUGCUACUGUCUCCUCCUCACCCUCCUGAUAACGAGUCUCUCUGGGACCCCUUCCAACUCCCCAGGUGAAUCAAGGAACCCUUGGGUUACAGGUUGGUAUGAGGAACACCCCAGGAAGGCUCCUCUUCCCCCAGCUCAGCCAGCCCGUGGUCCUCAUGCUGCAUCGGCCCCCAAAAUACAAAGGAAAGGAGGACAUGCCUUUUAGUUCAUUCAGCCCCACCAUACCAGACCCUGGGCUGAAAGCAUCUCUCAUGUCCAUCUCAUCCCUGUCCCUAUAGAGAUGACAGAAUAGAUUCAGCAAGGGGACAAAACUUGCUGGGUCAUACAGCACAGACAGG